rnacentral:tRNA from 1 species
AGGCUGGGUAACAUAAUGGUAAUGUAUAAAGCUGCAAAUUUUAUAAUAGCGGUUCGAUCCCGCUUCUAGCUUG